CUUCCCACUGCUGCUGUGUGCACAGAUCACCCAAAUCGUUUGUGUUGUGAGUGCGAUCCUCUUAUAGUGGAGAUAAAACACAAAGAAAGUCUCGGAUUCCCUGGCCUCUCACCUUGGCUCAAUCAUGGAUGAAGGAGAGUCUAUGAUCCUGAACACCUGCCUUUCCAGACUGAUACAGUGGAGGGAUUUAUGGUGCCUUGAUGAGGAAAUGGAGCACAGAGAGAUUAUAUGAUUUGCCAAGGAUUCCAUGCUCAGUUUGAGAAUUUGGGAUAUAAAACCAACGUAGUCCAGAAGGUGGUGAGUCAGGAAGAACUGGCUGACGGAGGGCCUGCGAUGAUCCACGGGUUGGUCCAUGGGGCCCUGGCCAUUGUGGCCAUGGACCUAGAGACUGCUUUACAAAGUGGUUCUGACUGGGUCUUGAUGUAUACCCCACCUCUGUCUGGAGAUAGCUUUUCUAUCCCAAAGUGUGACAGCUUCUCCUAAGUGUAACUGUCACGGGUUCUGUGAUAAAAAGGGUGAUUUCCAUAG